rnacentral:lncRNA from 1 species
AGACGCGCGACAGUGGUGGCCACACGACAAAGUCUCAAUCGAAUACGCCGUUGAUGGUUAGGCAUUGACGAAAUGUCGCCGGAACUGUAUGCUAUGUAUGCGUGAUGAUGGGAAGAAGCGACGAAGAGCUAACAGAGCAAAGCUUAUGAGUGAAGAGAGACGCAAGGAUUUAGAGACGAAGAAGAGAGGGAACGUGAAAUGAAAUUAGAGAAAGGGAAAUGUGAUUAGGGAGGAAGACAUAUUAUAACUGGUUUCUCAAAUUCCGUUAUAAUACAUAAAGAAAUUUUUCUACUUAUUUACAAGUUUGCCAUCGCGUUUCAUAUUAUAACUGAUUUACAAAACUACGUUAUAAUAUGUCUUAUUAUUAUUACGAUUUUGCCACCGGUCAACCUAUUAUAACGUAUAAUAUUUAUACGUUAUAAUUGGUCCGUUAUAAA